CCUGGCUUGUUGUUGGACUAUUUUUGCAAACUGAAAUAAGUGGCAAAGUCCAAAAAAUAAUGACAGUGUCGUGUUUGACCCUAAAUGUAACGAGCUUUUCAUAAGCACGCAUUGAAGUGGUUAACCGACCUUGGUCUUUAAAUCAUAAACAUUUUUUUAAGGUUGACCUCGGAUCAGGUAGGAAUACCCGCUGAACUUAA
rnacentral:misc_RNA from 1 species